UUAACCGAAUAGGGGAGCCGAAGGGAAACCGAGUCUUAACUGGGCGUUAAGUUGCAGGGUAUAGACCCGAAACCCGGUGAUCUAGCCAUGGGCAGGUUGAAGGUUGGGUAACACUAACUGGAGGACCGAACCGACUAAUGUUGAAAAAUUAGCGGAUGACUUGUGGCUGGGGGUGAAAGGCCAAUCAAACCGGGAGAUAGCUGGUUCUCCCCGAAAGCUAUUUAGGUAGCGCCUCGUGAAUUCAUCUCCGGGGGUAGAGCACUGUUUCGGCAAGGGGGUCAUCCCGACUUACCAACCCGAUGCAAACUGCGAAUACCGGAGAAUGUUAUCACGGGAGACACACGGCGGGUGCUAACGUCCGUCGUGAAGAGGGAAACAACCCAGACCGCCAGCUAAGGUCCCAAAGUCAUGGUUAAGUGGGAAACGAUGUGGGAAGGCCCAGACAGCCAGGAUGUUGGCUUAGAAGCAGCCAUCAUUUAAAGAAAGCGUAAUAGCUCACUGGUCGAGUCGGCCUGCGCGGAAGAUGUAACGGGGCUAAACCAUGCAC
rnacentral:rRNA from 1 species